rnacentral:rRNA from 1 species
AUUGAACGCUGGCGGCAGGCCUAACACAUGCAAGUCGAGCGGAUGAGUGGAGCUUGCUCCAUGAUUCAGCGGCGGACGGGUGAGUAAUGCCUAGGAAUCUGCCUGGUAGUGGGGGACAACGUUUCGAAAGGAACGCUAAUACCGCAUACGUCCUACGGGAGAAAGCAGGGGACCUUCGGGCCUUGCGCUAUCAGAUGAGCCUAGGUCGGAUUAGCUAGUAGGUGAGGUAAUGGCUCACCUAGGCGACGAUCCGUAACUGGUCUGAGAGGAUGAUAGGUCAAACGGGAACUGAGACACGGUCCAGACUCCUACGGGAGGAAGCAGUGGGGAAUAUUGGACAAUGGGCGAAAGCCUGAUCCAGCCAUGCCGCGUGUGUGAAGAAGGUCUUCGGAUUGUAAAGCACUUUAAGUUGGGAGGAAGGACAGUAAGUUAAUACCUUGCUGUUUUGACGUUACCAACAGAAUAAGCACCGGCUAACUUCGUGCCAGCAGCCGCCGUAA